rnacentral:lncRNA from 1 species
GACACUCUGGCAUAGCAGGGAGGAAUCUCCCCUCAUUGGCGUAUCUUCCUGAAUUGCUUGUCAAAAUCGCGUACAAAACCCUGCUUCCAUCCCCAUCCCUAUCCCUAUUCCUGACUCUGCAUAGGAACCAACAUCAUUCACGCUCGUCUGCAACCAUGGAUCUCUAGGUGCGGCAGCGGCUUCCGUCGAUGGAAGCGGCGGCAGCCCACAACGGCAUGGCUGCGGCCCCUUCCCUCUUCUCAACGGCAGCACCCUCCGGCACCGGCAACCUCAUCUGGAGCAGCCGGGCCUGUCGUGAGAUCCUAGCGGUAAGUCAUGGAGAGACCCCAACCAGAUCUGCGCACGGGAGGCAUUGAUUCCACGGAGACCAAACCUGCUCGUCGGCGUGGUUGACACAACCUUGACCUCGGCGUGGUGCUGCGGCGGGAUGGGUAAAAUCUUCUUAGCUUGAUUCAAUUCCUCAAUUCUGUGCCCCAACAAUUAUGACAAAUCCCCAAUUUUUCUUGCUGCAUGAUCAGAUUCAGUCGGAGCUAGGCAAAGCAAGCAACAUAUAAUCGAAUUCAAGAAUGUGGAAGCAAGCACUUUGUAUCAUAUUCAGCAACGUGGAAUAGUGUCAUGUUAUAUUACAAGUAUGGAAUCUGUAUUGUCAUUUGUAAUCGAUCCGAUUUGAAAAGAGUGAUUGUUUCAAUCUGUAUUGUGGUAACUCACCAUUAUAUUAUAUUAUAUUAUAGUAACAUACAAUCGAGUUG